ACGAAAUCGAUGAUGAGGAAGAGUAGCUGGUGCUGUAAUCUAAAGCGAGUCAGGGGUGGUGUGAGCCUGAUGAGGAUGCAUGAGCGAAGAACACCUCUGAGUUCUAACCGAAAAGGCUCACUGAGUAGGCUUAGACGUGUCCGGGACGUUAUCUGCCGGAAUUGAUAAGCUGGCCGCAUUUUGCGGCAAUGUGGGUGGUACCGCGGAAGCAAAGCCUUUCGUCCCUUUU
rnacentral:ncRNA from 1 species